ACAAGCCCUGUAAUCAGAAUAAUUGCAAUGAUACCAGAAACGAAUGCCACGUUUUGAUUUCCUUAUCAAUGUUGUUUAAUAAUUCAACCUUUUCCUCAGUCGAUGCAAUUGAAAUAAAUUUGUUUGCAUAAGAUCUGUCGUCACCUAUCAAUUACGUGCUUGGACGGAAUUUGGUUCAGUUGGCGUGUGCUCUAGCCCGGCAUUGAGAUCAAUGUUGUUAAUAGCCCGUGUGAAACAAACCGUGAAAUGUGUGAAAUGGAAAAGUCGGUCGAUGGGUUGCUUCUUAACGAGGAAAUCGCCGAUCCCCAUCCGCGCGGCGGGUGGGGUAAGUGGGAGUUGAACCUCACUAAAAACUCCUGCCGCUCACAGCGGGCGCCCUACCCCGGACCGGGCCAGAGCCCAGUCGCUGUUAUUGAGACGGCGUGACAGGAAUUCGAAUGGGAUUGGUCUAAAAUAGCGGUACAUACAAGAAUUCUGAAAAUGUACACUUUAGAGGCCUAAUUAUUAUUAUCGUCAAGUUUAUUGGAACAGUAAAAAUAGUUGAUAGAAUCGGUAACGUCACGCGAGUUCGCGUGUGGCAGGUUGGAUAAGAGGAAACAACUGAAAUGAAAAUUAACUUACCACGCCCGAUACAAGUGUUUUGUUAUAUAACAUUGAAUGUUUUUUAGGAUCUGUACGCAAUGUUUCAUUAAUAACAUUACAAUCGUAUUUUUUUAAUAAAUUUUAAAUAAUUCA